UAAUUUUGCUGCCACCCACAGGAAAUAAUUAAAGCGGCUAUAUGUAGCUUUUUGUGGAACACCACCAAAUUCACAUAGAAAGGUUUCGCAUACUGAAGAAAUGGAAAUGACAACUGAUCGAAGGAAUUUGUUUUGGAGCAACACAAUGUAUGUUGGAGGCACUAAAUUAAAAUCUCUCUCGGAGCCACCUCUCUUCUCCUCCUCCCCUUCUCACCUGCACUGGUAUCCUCCCCCAGCGGUCUGGCCCCGACAGCUGCUGCAGGCAGGGGUGGAACUAGGACCCCCAGGCAGGGUGGAGGAGGUCACCUCAGGGAUCUGGGCCUCAGCCCCAAUGGGCUUGUGGAUGCAGCACUGGCCCGAGAACUCCCGACAGAUCUUCUCCACUGCCUCCCUCACUACUUGGUCUUUGAACUGGAUGACAAGAGUUUGGGUUACUGGUUAGCUUAAUUUCAUCUAUAAAAUAUACACAUACAACCAUAUACAUUUUAAGGUUAAGUGGUAUGAUUCUAAAUAGUACAUUCAUUGAAGAUAAAACCACAGUAAUUUCCAAAUCAUCUCCUCACCUUCUCCAUGUAAGAUGUAAACCAUGCUGGAGGUGUCUUAUCUUCCUCUUUGGUCCCCUUUAGUUCUUUCAUGAUCACCUUGGAAACCAAAGUAGAAACACAUUGGUGAGGAAUCAGACAAUUAAGCCAUAUUUAUUUUAGGACACACAAUGACUUAGUUUGGUCUUUACUUGUAUUAAAUGAUUACCUAAUGACACAAAAGCUCAUUCAAUUUGAAAGAAUUCGCUUUAUAAAGUAAUAGUGCUGAGCAAUAAGUACUUCGAGGUCGAUUAGAUUAUAAAAACAACAUUAAAUACACUAUGCAUUAUGUGGGUUGAAUGCUGUAACACAGACUAAAGGAAUUCAUAAAAAUCCCAUGAAGGUAGUGACUGCCCAUUACUGCUUAUCAACCAUAAUUUAUUCACUGAAUUUUAAUAAAAUAUUUCAGUUGUUGUGUAUA